rnacentral:rRNA from 1 species
GAUGAACGCUAGCGGCAGGCCUAAUACAUGCAAGUCGAACGGGAUCCAGAUCAAAGCUUGCUUUGGUUUGGUGAGAGUGGCGCACGGGUGCGUAACGCGUGAGCAACCUACCCUUGUCAGGGGGAUAGCCCGGCGAAAGUCGGAUUAAUACCGCAUGACAUCAUUGAGAGGCAUCUUUCGAUGAUCAAAGAUUUAUCGGACAAGGAUGGGCUCGCGUGACAUUAGCUAGUUGGUAAGGUAACGGCUUACCAAGGCUACGAUGUCUAGGGGCUCUGAGAGGAGAAUCCCCCACACUGGUACUGAGACACGGACCAG